rnacentral:misc_RNA from 1 species
ACCAAGCGGCCAGGAAUCGAUCAAAUCCCUCCGGAGCACCACGUAUUGAAUCAAAACGUCGGCUGUCUCCUCCGCCUUCACUCCGCCAUCGUCCGAUGGAGGAAGGGAAUUAGUUUCAGCGGAUUCACUCAUGGAGGCGGAGCUAAAUGGAUUAGAAAUUCGAUUCCAAGAGCGGAGACUUCGGAAAGAAGAAACCCUAGGGUUUGAACAUGAGCAAAGCUUCGUGGGUUUGGAAAUGGAGAACGCGAAUCGAGAAGCUGAGGAGGG